GUUGAGAGACUGAUCGGCCACAUUGGGACUGAGACACGGCCCAAACUCCUACGGGAGGCAGCAGUAGGGAAUCUUCCACAAUGGACGAAAGUCUGAUGGAGCAACGCCGCGUGAGUGAAGAAGGUUUUCGGAUCGUAAAGCUCUGUUGUUGGUGAAGAAGGAUAGAGGUAGUAACUGGCCUUUAUUUGACGGUAAUCAACCAGAAAGUCACGGCUAACUACGUGCCAGCAGCCGCGGUAAUACGUAGGUGGCAAGCGUUGUCCGGAUUUAUUGGGCGUAAAGCGAGCGCAGGCGGAAGAAUAAGUCUGAUGUGAAAGCCCUCGGCUUAACCGAGGAACUGCAUCGGAAACUGUUUUUCUUGAGUGCAGAAGAGGAGAGUGGAACUCCAUGUGUAGCGGUGGAAUGCGUAGAUAUAUGGAAGAACACCAGUGGCGAAGGCGGCUCUCUGGUCUGCAACUGACGCUGAGGCUCGAAAGCAUGGGUAGCGAACAGGAUUAGAUACCCUGGUAGUCCAUGCCGUAAACGAUGAGUGCUAAGUGUUGGGAGGUUUCCGCCUCUCAGUGCUGCAGCUAACGCAUUAAGCACUCCGCCUGGGGAGUACGACCGCAAGGUUGAAACUCAAAGGAAUUGACGGGGGCCCGCACAAGCGGUGGAGCAUGUGGUUUAAUUCGAAGCAACGCGAAGAACCUUACCAGGUCUUGACAUCUAGUGCAAUCCGUAGAGAUACGGAGUUCCCUUCGGGGACACUAAGACAGGUGGUGCAUGGCUGUCGUCAGCUC
rnacentral:rRNA from 1 species